rnacentral:ncRNA from 1 species
CGCCAUGCUGGACGCGACUACGAGAGGCACCAGCAGCAUGGGGACAGCCUAACUGGGGGGAAAGUGGUUGAGACUAGGCAUCGGGUGGCGAAGGUAGCGCCCGUAUCACGCACGGCUGCCGGGC